rnacentral:rRNA from 1 species
GGGAGGACCACCUCCCAAGGCUAAAUACUACUUGGUGACCGAUAGAGAACAGUACCGUGAGGGAAAGGUAAAAAGAACCCCGAAAGGGGAGUGAAAUAGAACCUGAAACCCUGCGUUUACAAGCAAAGAAAGCACGUGAAAAGUGCAAUCUUGUACUUUUUGUAGAACGGGCCAGCGAGUUACUUUUGUAAGCAAGGUUAAGAAGUUAAGCUUCGAAGCCGAAGAGAAAUCAAGUCUUAAUAGGGCGACAUAGUUUACAGGAGUAGACCCGAAACCAGGUGACCUAUCCAUGAGCAGAGUGAAGUUAAAGUAAAAUUUAAUGGAGGCUCGAACCGGGUGUGGUUUAAAACACAUCGGAUGACUUGUGGAUAGGGGUGAAAAGCCAAUCGAACCUGGAGAUAGCUGGUUCUCCUCGAAAUAGCUUUAGGGCUAGCCUUUAGGAUGUUUAAUGGAGGUAGAGCUACUGACUGGUUGCGGGGUGUUUAUACAUUACCAAAACCUAUCAAACUCCGAAUGCCAAGAAAACAAACCUAAGGAGUCAGACUAUGUGGGAUAAGCUUCAUAGUCGAAAGGGAAAGAGCCCAGACCAUCAGCUAAGGUCCCUAAAUACCGAUUAAGUGGUAAAGGAUGUGAAGUUACCCAAACAACUAGGAUGUUGGCUUAGAAGCAGCCAUACAUUUAAAGAGUGCGUAAUAGCUCACUAGUCGAGUGACCUUGCGCCGAAGAUUUCCGGGGCUAAAUCGGAUACCGAAGCUAUGGACUCAACAUGAGUGGUAGAGGAGCAUUGUGUAAUAGGUAGAAGCAGUAUCGAAAGGCGCUGUGGACGAAACACAAGAGAGAAUGCUGGCAUAAGUAGCGAGAAGGAGUGUGAGAAUCACUCCCGUCGAAAACCUAAGGGUUCCUGAGCAAGGCUCGUCCCCUCAGGGUAAGUCGGGACCUAAGGCGAGGCCGAAAGGCGUAGCCGAUGGACAAGUAGUAAAAAUUCUACUACUAUCAAUUAUCGUAUAAAUGAAGCGGGGACACAGAAGGAUAAGCUAAGCGUACCAGAUGGACGAGUACGCUCAAAUAAAAAGGCAUGCCAGGACUAAUAACCAGGCUAAGCCAAUUUAUGAUGAGGAUCGAAAAUAAGUAGAGAAGUAGCCGAUUUCACACUGUCAAGAAAAGCCGCUAAAUAGAUAAAAGAUACCCGUACCGUAAACCGACACAGGUAGGAAAGGAGAGAAUCCUAAGACGCGCGGAAGAACCUUUGUUAAGGAACUCGGCAAAAUGACCCCGUAAGUUAGCGAGAAGGGGAGCCAGAGCGAUCUGGCCGCAGUGAAUAGGCCCAAGCGACUGUUUACCAAAAACACAAGUUUCUGCUAAGUCGAAAGACGACGUAUAGGAGCUGACACCUGCCCGGUGCUGGAAGGUUAAGGGGAAAUGUUAGCAAUAGCGAAGCAUAGAACUUAAGCCCCAGUAAACGGCGGCCGUAACUAUAACGGUCCUAAGGUAGCGAAAUUCCUUGUCGGGUAAGUUCCGACCCGCACGAAAGGUGUAACUUCGGUAGUACAUGUACAGAAUAGGUGGGAGACAUAGAUCCUGGUACGCAAGUAUCAGAGGAGUCACAAUGUGGGAUACCACUCCUGUAGUGCUGGAAUUCUAACCUUGAGCCGUAAACCGGUUUAGGGACACUGUCAGUUGGGCAGUUUGACUGGGGCGGUCGCCUCCCAAAAAGUAACGGAGGCGUUCAAAGGUUCCCUCAGCACGGACGGAAAUCGUGCAAAGAGUACAAAGGCAGAAGGGAGCUUAACUGCGAGAUAAACAGAUCGAGCAGAUGAGAAAUCAGGACUUAGUGAUCCGGUGGUACCACGUGGAAGGGCCAUCGCUCAACGGAUAAAAGCUACCCUGGGGAUAACAGGCUUAUCUCCCCCAAGAGUUCAUAUCGACGGGGAGGUUUGGCACCUCGAUGUCGGCUCGUCUCAUCCUGGGGCUGAAGUAGGUCCCAAGGGUUGGGCUGUUCGCCCAUUAAAGAGGCACGCG